CCCCCUCCUCAGACCACCAUCACCAUCAUCUGUGGUCAUUGUUGCUGCCCUGGUUCUCCUUGGAGCUGUGGUCACUGGAGCUGUGCUGGGGAGGAGGAAGUGCUCAGGCAGAGGCAGGGAGAGCUACACUCAGGCUGCCUGUAAGUCUGGGUGUUGGGGAGGUGAUGUCUGGGACCCUUGGGAGAGUGUGGGCUGGAGUCUGAGAGGGGGCUCUCCCACCCUGUAACUCUGCUGUUGUGUCUUCCCCAGGCAGUGACAGGGCCCAGGGCUCUGAUGUGUCUCUCACAGCUCCUAAGGGGUGACAGAGCUGCUUUCUCCAAGAGUUGGUGCUGAAAUAGUCACUACAGCCUCCCUUGGGACUUUAAGGGUCCCUCUCUGUUGUUUCUGCAACCAGCAUCUGAAUAUUAUAUAAAUAUAUAAAUAAAUCAAAAGUGAUGUAGAUUAAAA